rnacentral:misc_RNA from 1 species
GUUCAUCUCGAUUAUCUUCUUCAGUUGAGACAUUUGCUCGUCAAAGUGAAAUCCAGCAAUGGACGCAUAGCAGAAGCCAGUAAUACCAACAUUUGAUGCAAGAAUCUUAUGUGAUUGGAAAAAUGUUUCAUUAACAAAGAUAUCCACGCCAGAUGAUAGGCGUCGUGCAAACUCUGAACAAUUGGCUUGCUCCUGUUUAAACUGAGAAAGGUUCUCAAGAAGAAGGAUGGAAGAUUUAUGUCUGUCUUCCCUCAGGGACUGCUCAAAUCCAGAACCAAGAUCCACUGGUAUUACUUUUAGUUCAAGUUCCGACGAUAAAAGUUCUGCAACAUAUUCCAAUUUGAGAAGCCGCGAGUCAGCUCUCAAACUCCAGCUACUUAACAGAACUAAUUUUGCCCCAG